UUCUUUUAGCAUGCCAGAGUUUCUAUGUAGAGCACAGUGAUGACAUUCUGUGCCUCACUGUUAAUCAGCACCCCAAGUUCCCCAAUGUGGUCGCAUCUGGCCAAGUAGGUGAUGCUGCUGAUAUGUCAGCAUCGUGCCCGUCCAUCCACGUGUGGGAUGCCAUGUCGAAGCAGACGCUCUCUGUGCUGCGGUGCGCCCACUCGUGUGGCGUCUGCUCCGUCAGCUUCAGCGCCACGGGCAAGCUGCUCCUUUCCGUGGGCCUCGACGCCGAGCACACCAUCACCAUCUGGAAGUGGCAGGAAGGUACGGC
ensembl:lncRNA